GAGACCUGUAUCCAUAUUCGCUAACGUGCUAGAAAUGGCGAGCGAGCACAAUAUGGAAACUGCCUUGGAAACAAGGAGGAAGGCGCAGGCCACGGUAGGUCUGUAUGCCCCGAAUCUUCUGGGCUACACGCGCGCAACAAUGGUAGGUACAAUGGGAUGCAACUCUGAAAAGAGAAGCCAACCCUCUAAAACCUAUCUUAGUUCGGAUUGAGGAUUGUAACUCAUCCUCAUGACGCCGGAAUCCCUAGUAAUCAGAGUUUAGCAUACUCCGGUGAAUAU
rnacentral:rRNA from 1 species